AACGUAGGACGCAUGCGUUAUCCGGAGUUACUGGGCGUAAAGCGCGGGCAGGCGGUUCUGCCAGUCUGAUGUGAAAUCUCUCAGCUCAACUGGGAGCAGCCAUUGGAAACUACAGAACUGGAGUCUGACAGAGGUAGGCGGAAUUCCGGGUGGAGUGGUGAAAUGCGUAGAGAUCCGGAGGAACACCAGAGGCGAAGGCGGCCUACUGGGUCAGUACUGACGCUGAGCCGCGAAAGCCAGGGGAGCGAACGGG
rnacentral:rRNA from 1 species